rnacentral:rRNA from 1 species
UACGGGGGGGGCAAGCGUUGUUCGGAAUUACUGGGCGUAAAGGGCUCGUAGGCGGCCAACUAAGUCAGACGUGAAAUCCCCUCGGCUUAACCGGGGAACUGCGUCUGAUACUGGAUGGCUUGAAUCCGGGAGAGGGAUGCGGAAUUCCAGGUGUAGCGGUGAAAUGCGUAGAUAUCUGGAGGAACACCGGUGGCGAAGGCGGGUCUCUGGGCCGGAACUGACGCUGAGGAGCGAAAGCGUGGGGGAGCGAACAGG